GUUUAAGUAAUUUAUAUAAAAUAUCCAUUUGUGGGGUGGGAAAAGCUUUGAGUCUUAAACA
rnacentral:tRNA from 1 species